GGAGGCCGGGGUGGGGCGGGGCGG
rnacentral:miRNA from 1 species